CUUAAGACGUCGACUAGAUUAACAGUCGCCGAAUAAGCACCGUCUUAAGUCUGAGCUUAAACAUUUGCUUAGAAAAGUAAAUGCUUAUUGGUGUAGAUUCACAGUCGAUGCUUAAUAAAGUCUUAAGAUCUUAUGAAUUCAUAGUCGAAUAAGUCCGUCUUAUUUGUAGAAAACGAGUUCUAAUUUGGCUUUAUUGAGGUUAGAUUUUUAAGUUGACGAUAUUGAGGACUUAAGCACGCGUUUGAAGUUGUUAUUGUGCAGUGAUGGGACGAGAGAGAGAGUAGGUUAGGGUACACGAAUACGGUAGAAGAGAUUGUGUUUGCGGUAUUAUGCUACUGCAAGUUUUCAACUUAUUCUGGGAAACACGAUGAAUGUUUCUCAGCCCACAGUCUCCCGCAUAGUAUUUAGGGUGGGUUUACUAAUAGGCAGUCUGAUGAUGGAGUAUAUCAAGUUUUCCAGUGAUCCGGACAAUUCCACUCAAAAUCGCAGGUUAUUCAAUAAUCUGGGACAGGGAAACGGAGCUAUUGGUUUACCAGGUGUGGAUAGCGCUAUUGAUUGCACCCACAUUAGAUUAACAGCAUCCAGGUUCAACAACAUGGAAGAAAUGUACAGAAAUAGAAAAGGAUAUUUUUCAUGACACCCCUGCGGAAUCCACAGACUGAAGAAGAAAUAAGGUACAAUGAAAUCCAGAUCAGGACCCGACAGAUAGUAGAAAGAACGUUCGGUGUUUGGCAUUCUUGUAGAAGAAGAUGGAAUUGAAAACCAAAAUCAAGAUGGAGAAGAAUUAUUAGGAAACGUGGAAAAUGUUAAUGGCAUUGAUGGAUUUGCUACACGUGAAGCACUGAUUGCCCGUAUGUUUCAUUGUGUAAUUAUGUCAAACGAAAUGUAAUAAGGGGUUUUUCAUGCCGCAAG